GUAGGGAAUAUUGGACAAUGGGCGAAAGCCUGAUCCAGCCAUGCCGCGUGAUAGAUGAAGGCCCUCUGGGUUGUAAAUAUCUUUUAUCUGGGAAGAAACUCCUCUAUUCUUAGAGGCCUGACGGUACCAGAGGAAUAAGCACCGGCUAACUCCGUGCCAGCAGCCGCGGUAAUACGGAGGGUGCAAGCGUUAUCCGGAUUCACUGGGUUUAAAGGGUGCGUAGGCGGGUUGAUAAGUCAGUGGUGAAAGCUCCGGGCUUAACUUGGAAACUGCCAUUGAUACUGUCAGUCUUGAAUGUCGUAGAGGUAAGCGGAAUGUUGCAUGUAGCGGUUAAAUGCUUAGAUAUGUUACAGAACACCAAUUGCGAAGGCAGCUUACUAUGCGAUAAUUGACGCUGAGGCACGAAAGCGUGGGGAGCAAACAGGAUUAGAUACACUUGUAGUCC
rnacentral:rRNA from 1 species